AUAACGGUCCUAAGGUAGCGAAAUUCCUUGUCGGGUAAGUUCCGACCUGCACGAAUGGCGUAACGACUUCCCCGCUGUCUCCAACAUCGACUCAGCGAAAUUGAAUUGCCUGUCAAGAUGCAGGCUACCCGCGGUUAGACGGAAAGACCCCGUGCACCUUUACUACAGCUUGACAGUGGCAUUAGCGAUAAUUUGUGUAGGAUAGGUGGGAGGCUAUGAAGCAUUGUCGCCAGAUGAUGUGGAGCUGCCCUUGAAAUACCACCCUUGUAUGUUUGAUGUUCUAACAUUGCGCCCUAAUCGGGCGUGUGGACAGUGUCUGGUGGGUAGUUUGACUGGGGCGGUCUCCUCCCAAAGCGUAACGGAGGAGCACGAAGGUUGGCUAAUCCUGGUCGGACAUCAGGAGGUUAGUGCAAUGGCAUAAGCCAGCUUAACUGCGAGACAGACACGUCGAGCAGGUACGAAAGUAGGUCAUAGUGAUCCGGUGGUUCUGAAUGGAAGGGCCAUCGCUCAACGGAUAAAAGGUACUCCGGGGAUAACAGGCUGAUACCGCCCAAGAGUUCAUAUCGACGGCGGUGUUUGGCACCUCGAUGUCGGCUCAUCACAUCCUGGGGCUGAAGUCGGUCCCAAGGGUAUGGCUGUUCGCCAUUUAAAGUGGUACGCGAGCUGGGUUUAGAACGUCGUGAGACAGUUCGGUCCCUAUCUGGUGUGGGCGUUGGAUGAUUGAUGGGAGCUGCUCCUAGUACGAGAGGACCGGAGUGGACGAACCGCUGGUGUUCGGGUUGUCAUGCCAAUGGCAUUGCCCGGUAGCUACGUUCGGAAUCGAUAACCGCUGAAAGCAUCUAAGCGGGAAGCCCCUUCCAAGAUGAGAUCUCCCUGGACCCUUGAGGUCCCUGAAGAGCCGUUCAAGACCAGGACGUUGAUAGGUCGGGUGUGUAAGCGCUGCGAGGCGUUGAGCUAACCGAUACUAAUUGCUCGUGCG
rnacentral:rRNA from 13 species